GUUUAAAAACAGAAGUGAAAACGGAGCUCGGUGCUGGUCGCCCGCAGCUCCGCCAACCCCAGGGUCCCCAAGCGCGCGGUGCCCAGCGAACCCCGCGAAGGCUCCUUCGGUGCAGCGGGUGGACAGGCCAGAGCUCCCGCCCCAGGGGGCUUCCUGCUUCUGCCCCCCCCCCCCCCCCCGGACUCCGGGGAUUGAGAGAUCUCGAUCUGGGGGCACAGGAGGGACAGAGGGACCUCCCUGGGCUCUCUCGGCAGCUUCCUGUGAGUCUAUGAUUAUUUCAAAAUAAAUAUUUUACUAAAAAAAAAAGAGAGAAGCAUUCAAGCGAUACAGCGACAGCACACAGGGCGGGCGGCCCGACGGGCCACCGUUCCAACCCAGGGACAGUCUCUGACCACUCGGGAACAGCUGCAGAUAUUUUAGUUUCAGAUGCACCACGGUCGUUUGCCUUCGGCCGGUGAAAACCUGCCCCCCCCCCCACACACACACAAACACACUUGGCCACAGGCUUUAAAAGGACUCUUCUGUGCGUGCACUUCAAGUGCAACUGGACGCCGGGCGAGUGGCCACCCCCUUCCCUGGGGAUCUAGUUAAAAGCAGCCUGGGUUGGGCGGGAGCGGCCUAGAUGUCACCCGCUGAUUGACCCUCAGGUCGGAGCAGGGUUUGAGUGGCAGGAGGGCAGAAGUAUACAUGGUUUUGAGGGACGCCAGGUAGUCUGUGGCUGGAGGGACUGUCCCCAGCCCCGGGCCUCCUGUGUAAGCCACAGAGGAGCAUUUUUAAGGAAAUCAGGCCAUACCACCCCGCACAGCCAGCAGCGAGGGGGCGACAGGAAGUCUAACCCGGGCUCUGGGUGUGGCUUUCUGGGCUCUGGCUACCAUCCCCCACCUGCAUCUUGUGGGUGGCAGGUUCCUGGGGGGGGGCGGGGCGGGGAGACCGGCUUUCAGCCGGAAUGGAAUGCAAAAAAUGUGCACCGUCUAGUGACACUCUGUGCGCCGGGUUAGGCCCAGGACACGCGCCCCUGCUGAAGGGACUGGGGGCCAGCCGAGGUCUUGCACAUCGAGGCUCCCAAACCCACCUCCUCUGCACUCGGAUCUGACCCCAGAAAUGCGAUGCGUCCAGCCAAUCAAGCCUUUGCCACCGAGGCUCGGAAUGCACGCAGGCACGCACAUGUUUUUGCUUGCAAAGUGCAUUCAGGUAGACACAGAGGGGAACGUGCAGGUCUCAACCCUUCUCGGUGGCUGCCCGGUGGCUCUGAUGGGACCUCGCCCACCCUGAGCUGGCCCGCAUCCCUACCCCGGCCCACGUGCCUACCCCUUCCUAUCAAUAGCACCAGUGUGUUUUGCAACAAAGCAGCUUGCAUCUGGGCGGAUCUUAAAAAAGGGGGAAAAAUUCUUUGGAAACCACAUCCCAAAACUUGACGGACUAGAAAAAGCAAAAUCCCCUGAAGGUGGGCAUGAGCAGGAUUGUUUUCUGGUGGUCAAGGAGCUCUGUCAUAGCCAAGGAAUGAGUCUCUCCCUGCCCCUAAGCUGAUGGAACUGUGCUUGCAAAAUAGUCCUAGGAACAGGUGUUGUGCACGCAGUCAAGUCCCCAAGGCCACUGAACACUUCUUACAGGGGAUUAGGAUACUCGGUGUCUUUGCAUGUACCUGCACCUAAGCAAUAAUUGAUAAACCAAGUUAAAUGCAUGUGCUAGUAUGCGUAUGAGUAUUUGCAUAUAUGCGAUGUAUGCAAUAUGUACUGUUUUAUAUAUGUGCAAAAUACAUAUAGUAUUUAAAAAAAUAAUAUAUGCCGGGCGCGGUGCCACACGCCUGUCAUGCUGCGGCUCAGGAGGCUGAGGCAGGAGGAUCCUGAGUUCAAAGCCAGCCUCAGCCAAAGCGAGGCCCUGAGCAACUCAGUGAGACCCUGUCUCUCAAUAAAAUGCAAAAUAGGGCUGGGGAGGGGGCUCAGGGGUCGAGUGUCCUUGAGUUCAAUCCCUGAUGCAGAAAAAAAUAACAAAUAAGAGUGAAAAUAGUAAGUGCUUUUACCAUAUAUUUUACAUUUUAUAAAUAUAUAUGCUAAUGUAGGGUACUUAUUGUACCUUCCAUUGUAUUUUAUGUGUUUUUCUCAAAAGAAUAAAAAACCAUAAAACACAUUGCUGGGUCACAGCCCGGUGGGAGAUACCUUGGUUCCAAUAAUGCAAAAAAAAAAAACAAACAAAAAAAAAAAUCUGGAGUCGGGAGACCCCUGUAAUCCCAUCUCCUGAAGCAGAAGCAUUGCAAGUUCAAGGUCAGCCUAAGUCAUUUAGUGAGGCCCUGAGCAAUUUAGGCAGACCCUGUCUCUAAUUAAAAAUAAAAAGGGUCAGAGACGUAGCUCAGUGGUCAAGCACCCCGGGUUCACUCCCCAGUACAAAAAAAAAAUGGGGGCCAGUCCGCACAACUGAGCCAAACCCUGUAUCCAGACUAAAAAUCUGGAUGCAGGGGUAUAUCUGUGUAAUCCCAGCAACUUGGGAGGCUGAGGCUGCAGGAUCGUGAGUUGGAGGCCAGCCUCAGCAACUUAGCGAGGCCCUGAGCAACUCAGUAAGACCCUGUCUCUAAAUAAGAUAUAAAAAGGGCUGGGGAUGGGGCUCCGUGGUUAAGCACCCCCUGGGUUUAACCGCCAAAGCGAAUUAAAAUAAAAAUAAAAAUCUGCAAAUGUGAAAAAGAAUACAAGUUGGUUUGAUUCCGGUUCCAAGGGAGACCUAAAAAUAUCACUUCUCCCUGUGUCUGUUGACUCAGAGGCUUUUCGUGAGUGAUUCCAAAGAAAACUGUCUAGGAAACCGUGGGUCGGUCGGUGGCCUGCAAUUAGUAGGCGCCAAAUUGACCCCUCACCUAGAGAUUCAUUAGAGGUUUUAUUUCAGGGACGCUGAGCUGGUGUGGGUGAGCCUCCCCAAACCAGGCGUUGAUUUCUGCGCCCUUUGCUGGGUGGUCUCACUGGACUCCUGAAUCUGAGUGGCAAAGAUCAUAGUUUAGCCAAAGAAUAAUAAGUUUGUCAAUCAGUUGGUGACAGAGGUGACGGAAGAGUAGGGUCAUCACGGAGAUCCAUCUGGCCCCUUCUGGGAUCAUCCACGGGGUGGGUUUCCUUUAAAUAUUCAGAUUCUCUGGACCUAGAUAGAGAGCUGCUAAGUGGAUGGGAACUGUCAAUCAAGUGGUCGCCGUGGGGACACAGGAAACUGCCACAUUUGGAAUCCAUUUGGCUCAUCCCUAAAUCCAAACCUUUAAGGAACUCAAGAGCAUCCCCAGGAAACAUUGUAACAACUUAGUGCACCUUGUGUCUAGGGGUCGAGGAGCAGCCCAGGGUCCAUGCCUGUCACCCCAGCUGCUCCGGAGGCUGAGGCAGGAGGAUCGCGAGUUCAAAGCCAGCCUCAGCCAAAGCGAGGCCUGAAGCAACUCAGGGAGACCCUGUCUCUAAAUAAAAUAUAAAAUAGGGCUGGGGAAGGGGCUCAGGGGUUGAGGGCCCCUGAGUUCAAUCCCUGGUACCCAAAAGAAAAAAAAAAAAUCCCAAAAGACAUUACAAGAAAAAGAAAAAUGAAAUAAUCAUCUUGAAAUGGGGGUAUCAAGCUUAACAGAAAGAAGGGGGGCUAUUCAUUCUCUAUACAAAUGGAAGGGUCUUCUACCUUUCCUAGAAAUGGAACCGGAGAUCCCACAGAAUAGGAAAAAAAAAAUGUCAAGAACCUGUUGGAAUAGAAAGGAAAGAUUGAAAUGGGAUCCAGCCGGGGGUCAUUCAUAUGUAAAGUUAAUUUAUAAUAAAUAAGAGUGGCUGGGGAUGUGGCUAGGUGGCAGAUUUCCGCAGUAUGGAGGUCUCAGGUUCGAAGCCAGCGCCAUCAAACAAAUAAAUACAUUUUAAAGUAACGCAGCGGAGGCCAGAAGUGGAAGUCAGCCACCUUCGCGGCACCCUCAGAACAAACCCUUGUCACCUGCUUGGGGCCCCUAUGUGAAUAAGCACAAAAACCUUGGUGGGAUACCUAGCAUGGCACAGUUGGGGUUCUCCGGAUUCUCCACGGAGCGAUUUAUUUUUUCAAAGUCAACUUUGCAGCAUGCAGAGGAGAAGAAAUAAAAAUGCGUGUGCAAAGUGACCCCAUUUUUUUAAGGCAGUUUUGACUAUGAAGGAAAGAGACCUCUAGCAUCUAAAGACAAGGUGCACGGACACUGUCAGAUUCUGCACCACGGUCUCCAAAAUGGGAAGCUUCCGGUUGCAUUUUGAGACACACAGGGACGUGUGCAAAUCCCCCCCAGUCCUUAGGAGAAUGGCCCCCGUCUGCCCUGUGGGUGGAGGAUGUGUACAUUUUUCAUUUCAUUCCCAUUUACAUUUUUAUUCUCAUUUUUUUUUUUUCCUGGCAGCGGGUCGACUUUUAUGGAAACCCAGAGACACUUCAGAACAGGCUCGAACUGGUUUCAUGGAGGAUUGAGAAACCUGACCCCCUUCCCCUGGCUACAAAGCUGUGCUGGGUAUUUACCUUAAUUUCUUGCUUAAUUUCUAUUUUUUUAAUUUUUUGAGGCUAGUGGAGGGUACUGGGAUGGAACUCAGGGUCCUCAACCCCUGAGCCCCCUCCCCAGCCCCUAUUUUGUAUUUUACUUAGAGACAGGGUCUCCCUGAGUUGCUUAGGGGCCUCCCUUUGGCUGAGGCUGGCUUUGAACUCGCGAUCCUCCCGCCUCAGCCUCCCCAGCCGCUGGGAUGACAGGCGUGUGUCACUGCUGUGCCUGGCUCUUAAUGUCUAAAGAGAGGAGGAAGCAGUUUUUAGGGACCCCCUGGAGCAAGCUCGCUUGCCAGCCCCGCCCACCGGGGGAGCCAGUCUGCAGCGUGGACCAGCCCGAGGUCACCAAGGAAGAAACCGAGUUUGCCUGGGAGCCAGGGAGACGAGAUAAAUAAAAACCCCAUAAGCACCGUGACCUUGGAGAUGAACUUGGGCGACUCCGAGGCUUCCGUGGAGGAUGACUCAGCGCCCUCGCGUCUCCAGCAGAGGGUGGGGUUUGGAGACAGUCGGGAAGGCCCAUGUUGGAGAGAGAGGGCUGGGGAGGAGAAGUUGGAUUUGAUCAGUGCACCUCCUGUGCGUGUGUACAGAUACCACACGGAACCCCAUCCACUCUGUACAACGAAUGCCUGUUAAUCAAAAGUGUAAACAGAUAAAAAUAAAAAUCAUGUUG
rnacentral:lncRNA from 1 species